rnacentral:rRNA from 1 species
UACGGAGGGUGCAAGCGUUAUCCGGAUUCACUGGGUUUAAAGGGUGCGUAGGUGGAUCUAUAAGUCAGUGGUGAAAGCCCCGAGCUCAACUUGGGAAUUGCCAUUGAUACUGUAGAUCUUGAGUGCGGUUGAGGUAGGCGGAAUGUUGCAUGUAGCGGUGAAAUGCUUAGAUAUGCAACAGAACACCGAUUGCGAGGGCAGCUUACCAAGCCGAUACUGACACUGAUGCACGAAAGCGUGGGGAUCAAACAGG